AGAGCAAUGUCACGUUUUCACAUGACGUCAUUAACGAUACGUAUGACGUCAUGUUCCAGUUGCGUAAAUAACGGGCGGUUUUGUUGUUGUUCCGAAAUCUCGACUUUGUCGUUUUGAUUCUUACACACGGCAACAUGACGAAAGCAGUGUAUCUUUUAGGAUUGGCAGCCCUGUGUCUUCUUGCUGUACAGCAAGUUUCAUCAAGUUCAUCAUCAACAUCUGGUUAUGAUCCCACACCAACGCCAACGCCAACGACACCGCCUCCGUCGUCAGGAAUGACGACACCACCACCAGCCAACCCUCCGGCCUCCACAGCACCCAAGGAAACCUCUUCAUUUGUGCUGUUCUCCAUCAUCAUCGCUUCUGUGUUCUUAUUUCUUGUCAUUUUCCGUUAACACCUGUGUCAAACUAUGAUACAAGACAGUGAAACAAAACACAAGUGACGAGCAGAAUAAUUUGAUCAGGAACUCUGCGCAACCGCUUCACAGUGUUUCUUGUUCC